GGAAGAUAUUCGUUGUCUAGUUUAUGAUGUAAACACUGGAUUCCUAGUUACACUUAGUAACGUCAAUGAUGAAGCAGCUGUAUGCUGCUCUCGUCAUUUUGUUGGUUUUAAGUCUCGUGGUCUAUCUCAUGUUAAGUACUUUACCAGCAGAUGUAUGUGCCGUUGAUAGUGUUGUGGGGUGGAUAAUGGAUAGCGCUUUCGUCGAAAGUGUUUGUGAUCAGUAGUGAACAGUAAAGAAUAUACGGUCUUUCUUACACCAGGCCCAUAUCCAUAUCCAUGUGACACAGUUUGAAAAUGUAAGAAUUGUAUAUUCUAUUUAUUGUAUUAUUUGUGUAUGGUUCGUUUACUUCAUUUCUGCUUUCUUGUUUAUUUUUUAUUCUGUUACAAUUGAUCUUUUAAUUUGUUCUAAGAUAACUUAACUGUACUAUAUAGUAGUCCCAAUUCUGCAUAAUACGGAUGUAUGUCUAAGUCUUGUGCUUAUAAUUUUUUGGUAAACCUAUAUCACGUACUAUAGACCACCUAACAAUAUAUUGUAACGUUUCUCGCAUUCUUUUCAUGAGUCUGCAUAGCCAUAUAAUUGCAUUAAACGUUGGUAGAACUAUUUGAAAAUAAAGUUUAUGCUUGUACA